ACCAAUGGCUAUAGUCAUAGCGAUCCUCCUAUUCAACUACUUCGACCAUUUCCGAGCACCUCAUAUCUUUUUCGGGGCGUCCGAAGAUUCGAUCAUUUUUGUAUGAUUUCUCUUGCACUGCCCUUUCCAAUGGGUUUCGAAGAUAAAAAUCCUUUAUUGAUUAGCCCAUAAACUGACCUAGGUAAAUCCAUGAACUCCAUUGGAUUAUUCCUUCUGACUAAGCAUAUGAACCAUGAAUUAUCUUAUUAAGACAAUUCAAUCAAUCCCUUGUUUUGAAAGAACUCUUCAAGGACCAAACGGUCCCUUUCCUUCAUACUUCAUAUAAAUAAAUCUAAAACCCCAGAGUAUAUCUUUCCACGGAUCGAAAGAAAAAAGAAAGUUCGAGCAAAUAUUUAUUUUUAGAUUCUUUUGUCUGUUAGAAAAAGAGAUAAUCUACUAUUUUUCCCUUUAGCAAAUCUAAAAUUCAAUAAAAUAAAUAAAAUAACUAGGAGACUGGAAAUGAAAGUCUCUUUCUCGGAUCUAUUCUUCAUCACACUGUUGGAACAAAACAAAAAUACCGGAUGCAACGAUAUUGAAAUAUUUGUUACAUGAAGCCACGAUCUGAUAGAUAUACAUCGAAAUCUACAAUCUACUUAAUAUAGAUAUAUAAUCUAGAUAGAAAUUAAUCUUUGAUCUAGAAUCAAAGAAAGAUAAUAAAUGGCUCUUAUGGUGUGACUUGGAAGAAAGGUUUAUCUGUAGAGGAAAGGAAUAACAAUUUAUUCCUAUAAUUUUUCCUAUAGAAGAAAAUAUAACAAGAAGAUUUAAUCGGAAAUAUCGAUAAAUUCUUGUGCAGUCCAAAACAAAAAAAUGAAAUAAAAAAAUCAACUGCUCCAAUUUCAUCUCUAUCGAAUUUUAAUAUUAGAACAGCGGAUAUAGUCAUGAUUCAAUUGGUCAGGUCUACUUCCUUUUUCUUUUGUUGAUUUCUAACCUUUCAAAUGGAUUUGGUUGGUAUAAUGGAAAAUAGGAAUAUUCGGUGGGUGAUUCAAGAAGUGACUUUUCAUUAUUCAUAAAUUCAUAAUAAUGAAAAUUGACUAAACAAAUGUUCAACUUUAUAACUAAGUAUAAUGAUAAUGUAUUAUCCAGUUAGUUACUUUUUUUAUUACAAAUCAAAAUACAAUUCUCCCCUUAAAUAUGAAUACUAGAUUGGAGUUUUACAAAGCGCCCCCUAUCAGAUUUAAACCGAUGACUUACACCUUACCAUGGCGUUACUCUACCACUGAGUUAAAAGGGCCUUUUUAUUUAAUUCUGGAAUUAUUCACUAUGUGGAUAAAAUAUAUAUAUGUACAUAUAUUAUAAACAUAAGUAUAUAUGCAUUAAAUACGUGCAGUAGAUACAUAGUGUCUAGUGGCUCAUGGAUUUACCUAGGAAGUCUAGGAGAAAAUGCAAUGAAGUGUUUCAAGACCGACUCGAAUUGCUUUUUUUCUUUUAUUGAAUUGAUCCCACCAGAACAAAAUUCACUUGAUUGAUACAUGUACAUACACCUAGCAAUUCAACAUAAAAUUCAAGAUAUUUCAUCGAAUCAUGGAAUGAAGAGAUUCUACUUGUCUCUUGAACUAAAUUCUUGGAUAAAAAACAAUUUUCUGCUUGAUCUUACUAGAUUUCUCAUUUGUUAAUUUCCUGUCUUGGUGGGAGGGAGAUAAGGAUAUCUCGUCUUAACAAUGAAUCAAAUAAAAGUGAAAGAAAUCGAAAUAAAAUUCUAAAUACUAAAAUAAUUGAAACUAAAAUAAUCGAAAUAAAUUCAAUUGAAAUAAUUUAAAAAUGAAAAAAAUACUAUUACUAGAUUUUAGAUUUCUAAUGGCGAUUAGAAUGAAUAAUUCAUCAGAAUAAAAAAUAAUUCUAUGCAAUUCUGAAAGGGGGAAAGAUCACUCGGAUAGAAUCAUUCGAUUAUAUUGAUAAUUUCAAAAAACUGAUCAUACUAUGAUCAUAGUAUGAUGGCAGUUGGUCAAGCGGGCCCCCAUCAUCUGGUGGUUUAGGACAUCUCUCUUUUAAGGAGGCAACAGGUAUUUGAAUUCCCCUGGGGGUAGGGUACUAUGAAAGGAAGUUGAUCUUGGAUUACCAAUAAGUCUAUAAUUGAUUCUUCCUGGGUCGAUGCCCGAGCGGUUAAUGGGGACGGACUGUAAAUUUGUUGGAAAUAUGUCUACACUGAUUCAAAUCCAGCUCGGCCCAAUAAUUCGACAAUCCACCACGAGAUGAUAUAACCCCUUCGUACUUCAGAAAUACCCGAUCCGUAGAUAAAAAAGAAUCAAAUUUUCUGCUAGAUCCCAUAUUUCCCUGGGAUUGUAGUUCAAUUGGUCAGAGCACCGCCCUGUCAAGGUGGAAGCUGCGGGUUUGAGCCACGUCAAUCCCGACGGAUCCAAUAAAAAUAUCUCUCUUUUUACGAAGGGGACGGGGGGGAGAAUUUCAUUGUCAAAGCAAAGGGGAAAUCCUUAUUUCUUUUUUCUUUCCUUUGGGUAACAUGCGGUUGGAUUAGUACAAUUAUUGGUAGCAUUAUAAUCAGUAUUCCAAGAAAUGCUAGCUUUUUCGAUUAACCCCAAUGCAUGUAAUGGAAUCGGGUACUAUAUCUUUUUGAGGCGAGCAUACACAAAGGGAAUUCUUUUCUUGUCCAAUACAAAAUUGAAUAUAAGAAAAUACUUUCCAGAAAAAACAAAAAAAAAUAAUUUAUUUUCUGGAUACGGAUUUAUAGAACCUCACUUACUAGUUUGAAGUUGAAAAAUAGAUUUCAUGCAAAUUGCACACUGAGCUUUUGGUAUAGGUGUCCUGGGGCUAAUAAUCUAUGAAGAAAGGAGGGGGAAGGAUAGAUCAACCAAAGAUCCUACUUCUCUUAGAACGGGGAAUGAAUCAUUUUUCCGAUUUUUCAUUUUGUUUUAAGGCCCCAUCGACGAAAGAACAAAUUGAAAAAUAGUAAAUUUGAUGAAUAUUCAUUUUAUACGGUCGCAUCUUUAUCACACUUCUUUGUCUUCCAAGUCAAAAAUAGUUUCGUUCUAAACUCCUUUCUUUUUCCAUUUAGAUUUUAUUAUUUGUUUGGGUUUGUAACUAUAUGCCCACUGGAAGUGGAAGAGCUGUUUGAUGAGACUUCAUCAUAUGAUUGUACAAGAAAGAACUAGAUAGAUUAGAGAGAAAAAAAGAACAGAUGAUAAAAAAUGAUAAAUAAAGAAAUUGUGGGUGGAUUGGGUCAGGAAUCCAAGUUUGGGGCGGUAUGGAUAAAAGAACUUCCUAUGUUAUACUAUUCAAUUCUCUACGACGAAUUGAUUUGAUAGUUCAGAUAUUGUUAUUCAUGAUAUUGAUCCGAUUCAAGAUCAUCGAGAGGUAAUAUUCAUUCAUUGAAUUUACAGGCCAAAGAUUUACCAUAUCUAUGGGAUUAAAUCCCGAGUUAUUGCAAAGUAAAAAACCGAUGAGAUUAUGGAAGUAAAUAUUCUUGCAUUUAUUGCUACUGCACUAUUUAUUCUAGUUCCUACCGCUUUCCUACUUAUCAUUUACGUAAAAACAAUCAUUCAAAAUGAUUAAUUAUUAAUUAAUUUGAAUGAAACUUGACUUCUGAGUUCUUAGCCAAAAUUGCCGAAAUAAAAUGAAAAGAUUCCAAUUUCAUGUCUUAAAUGAAAUGAAUGGACUAGAAUCUCAUGGAGAAUGGAAACACAUAAGAACUCUUGAAUGGAAAAGAGAUAUAACUCCAGUUCGUUCCUUUGGAAUCAGUAGUUAAUCCUAUUUUCGAUAGGAGCAGUUGACAAUUGAAUCUGAUUUUGACCAUUAUUUUCAUAUCCAUAAUAGUGCGAAAAGAAGGCCCGACUCCAAGUUGUUCAAGAAUAGUGGCGUUGAGUUUCUCGACCUUUUGACUUAGGAUUAGUCAGUUCUUUUUCUCGAGGGGGCGGGGAAGGGAUAUAAAUUAGCGGUAGAGUGUCACCUUGACAUGGUGGAAGUCAUCAGUUCGAGCCUAAUUAUCCCUAAGCCCAAUGUGAGUUUUUCUAGUUGGAUUUUCUCCCCCGCCGUCAUUUAAUGAGAAUGGAUAAGAGGCUCGUAGGAUUGACGAGAAGGGGCAAGGAUGGCUAUAUUUCUGGGAGCGAACUCUAGGCGAAUAUGAAGCGCAUAGAUAGAAGUUAUGCCUCAGAAUGAAAGACAAUUCCAAAACCGCUUUGUCUACGAACAAAGAAGAUAUAAGUAAUGUAACUAUGAAUCUCAUGGAGAGUUCGAUCCUGGCUCAGGAUGAACGCUGACGGCAUGCUUAACACAUGCAAGUUGGAUAGGAAACACGGGAAAUGGUGUUUCUAGUGGUGGAUGGUUGAUUAACGCGUAAGAACCUACCCUUGGGAGGGGAAAAAUAGCUGGAAACGGCUGCUAAUACCCCAUAGGAUGAGGAGCAAAAGGAGGAAUCCGCCCGAGGAGGGGGUCGCGUCUGAUUAGCUAGUUGUUGAGGCAAUAGCUUACCAAGGUGAUGAUCAGUAGCUGGUCCGAGAGGAUGAUCAGCCAUAUUGGGACUGAGACAUGGCCCAAACUCCUAUGCGAGACAGCAGUGGGAAAUUUUCCACAAUGGGCGAAAGCCUAACGGAGCAAUGUCGCGUGGAGGUAGAAGGCCCACGAGUUGUGAACUUCUUUUCUUAGAGAAGAAGUAAUGACGGUAUCUGGGGAAUAAACAUCAUCUAACUCUGUGCCAACAGUCGCGGUAAUACAGAGGAUGCAAGCAUUAUCCAGAAUGAUUGGGCGUAAAGCAUCUGUAGGUGGCUUUUUAAGUCCGUCGUCAAAUCCUAGGGCUCAACCCUGGAUAGGCGGUGAAAACUACCAAGAUGGAGUACAGUAGGGGUAGAGGGAAUUUUUGGUAGAGCGGUGAAAUGUGUAGAGAUCAGAAAGAACACCAACGGCGAAAGCACUCUGCUGGGGCGACACUAACACUGAGAGACGAAAGCUAGGGGAGCGAAUGGGAUUAGAUACCCCAGUAGUCCUAGUCGUAAAUGAUGGAUACUAGGCACUAU
rnacentral:lncRNA from 1 species